CAACUCCCAAACCCCUGUGAACAUACCAUUUUGUUGCCUCGGCGGUGCCUGUUCCGACAGCCCGCCAGAGGACCCCAAACCCAAACUUCCUUGAGUGAGUCUUCUGAGUAACCGAUUAAAUCAAUCAAAACUUUCAACAACGGAUCUCUUGGUUCUGGCAUCGAUGAAGAACGCAGCGAAAUGCGAUAAGUAAUGUGAAUUGCAGAAUUCAGUGAAUCAUCGAAUCUUUGAACGCACAUUGCGCCCGCCAGUAUUCUGGCGGGCAUGCCUGUUCGAGCGUCAUUACAUCCCUCAAGCCCCCGGGCUUGGUGUUGGGGAUCGGCGAGCCUUAGCGCCCGCCGUCCCCUAAAUUUAGUGGCGGUCACGCUGUAACUUCCUCUGCGUAGUAGCACACUUAGCACUGGGAAACAGCGCGGCCACGCCGUAAAACCCCCCAACUUUUGAACGUUUGACCUCGAAUCAGGUAGGACUACCCGCUGAACUUAAGCAUAUCAAUAANNGGAGGA
rnacentral:rRNA from 1 species